GGCGGCAUAGCUCAGUUGGUAGAGCAGCGGAAUCAUAAUCCGCGUGUCAUCGGUUCGAGCCCGGUUGCCGCUA
rfam:Waddlia chondrophila WST 86-1044, complete genome.